rnacentral:rRNA from 1 species
UACGUAGGGUACAAGCGUUGUCCGGAAUUAUUGGGCGUAAAGAGCUCGUAGGUGGUCUGUCACGUCUGCUGUGGAAACGCAAGGCUCAACCUUGCGCGUGCAGUGGGUACGGGCGGACUAGAGUGCAGUAGGGGAGUCUGGAAUUCCUGGUGUAGCGGUGAAAUGCGCAGAUAUCAGGAGGAACACCGGUGGCGAAGGCGGGACUCUGGGCUGUAACUGACGCUGAGGAGCGAAAGCAUGGGGGAGCGAACAGG